GGCGGAGUAGCUCAGUUGGUUNNGGUUAGAGCAGCGGAAUCAUAAUCCGCGUGUCGGGGGUUCAAGUCCCUCCUCCGCUACCA
rnacentral:tRNA from 1 species